rnacentral:rRNA from 1 species
UACAGAGGGUGCAAGCGUUGUUCGGAAUUAUUGGGCGUAAAGCGCGUGUAGGCGGCUUUGCAAGUCGGGUGUGAAAGCCCUCAGCUCAACUGAGGAAGUGCGCCCGAAACUGCAGAGCUUGAGUGCCGGAGAGGGUGGCGGAAUUCCCCAAGUAGAGGUGAAAUUCGUAGAUAUCGGGAGGAACACCAGUGGCGAAGGCGGCGACCUGGGCAGAUACUGACGCUGAGGUGCGAAAGCGUGGGGAGCAAACAGG